GCAGUGGUGGUUCAGUGGUAGAGUUCUCACCUUUCAUUCAGGAGGCCUGGGUUUAAUUCCUGGCCAAUGCA
rnacentral:tRNA from 1 species